UUGCUCAGAUUCCCACCGAUGGGGGCUUAGGCCAGUGACCACGAUGGCUUUCCUGGAGCUGUAUCCAAUGAUGUGUCUUCAGCAAUGAAAUUUUGCUACUCUUCCAUACAGGAAGUGGAAUCCCUUUGUCUUCCACACCAAAUCUGGCUUGCCUUGGGAUGUGUCAUAACCAACAAAAAGAGAGAUGAAGAUCUCGGGUUCUCCAAAGUUCAAGCCACCAAGGUCCACAUGCCAUCACAGAGUGAAAGCACAGAA